UCUCAGUGUCAGAAGAGACGUUAACCUGUGUUUCUGUGUAACACUUCAACACAGACAGCUCUUCACAAGGCUCAGUGACAGAAGAGGCAUCACCAGUGCACACUGUACGUCUCUAAACCUCUUAACCUCAGACACUUCAACAUCACACAUCAGAACUGCACUGGAGAUUCACUGGACUCAGUUCAUCACAAGAUUUUGCUGUAUAAAUGAAUGGCAGAACAUCAGAGGAGCAUCACAAACAACAUGAGCAGCAAAGAGAACAAGAGUCAAUCAGCAGAAGCAGGAGAGAAACAGAGAAAGACACUAGUCAGACUGAACAGCUCUGGAAUAAACAGACCAAACUUUUGUCAUGAUUCAGACAGACCUUCUGAGAUUCAUUCUGAUGAUAAGAAGACAUGCUAACAGAGAUGAUGUAAAGCACCGCAGGUUUAUGUUGGAGAAGGCAGCAGCAAGUUCUUAAAACUUUAGUUGGAAGCAGCUUUUUAAGAGUUUCUGGAGAAACAGAGCAUGAUGUGCAUCACAGACUGACUGAGAGACAGGACUUUUAUUCUGACAAGGACAACAUUGGGCAUGAAACACAAAACCAAUGGCAGCAUAUCCCAUUAGGACAUUAGGACUGCCUAUGCAUAGGGCCCUGGAUUUUUUGCAGCUCCCCUGACACUAACACACACUUAACACCAUCAUGAUAACACACAUGAUACUAAAAUAGUGGUAUAAACAUUAAUUUUACAACAUUAGAUGUAAGAUUACCCUAACGCACACAACUGAUAAUAGAAAAAAGAAGGUGAAAUGGUUAAAACAUCUAAUAUGAAGUGUCAUUCAGGGAAUUCCUGGGGUGUCAGUUUAUGUUUUUUUCACUUUCAAAAAACUGUAAUUACAGUUAUUCAGCAUAUAUAGUGUGUAAACUUACCGUUAACUAAUUAACCGUUUUUUACUGCAUUUUUACAGUCUUUCAAUGUUAAAAUCAGGAUUAUUUAUUUUACAUUGGACUGAUAACACUGGAUCACGUGGCAUUAAACACAGAUCAAUGAAUUAUAAAUAUAUUUGAUUAAAUAUAGCUGGUGCACACAGUGUCAUUUAAUUUUAUAUUUCAUAAUCUUUUUUCAUUCAGCCAUAAACUAGUUUUUUUUCUUUCACCCGAGCAAAUUUUAGUAAUUUGAGCAAAUUCUAAUCCAUCAUUAGAGUUACUGCUUGAUGUAUAAACCUGAAAAUCAACACAUAUGGUUGCCAAAAGAAUGAAUUGAUAUAUUUUGUAUUUAAAGGUGAAUGUUAUUGAUAUGGUCUCGUUUUGUACUUCAAUAUGUGUUGUGUAGUUUUGCAUUGAUUAAUUCUAGGACUUAUGGGGGGGGGGGGGGGGUGUUGUCUUACGAUGUUUUGAGGUGUUGUUUUAAUGUGAUAUACUAUAGCUGCUCACUUGAUUGACAUUGAUUGUUAACAGCUGUCAUCAAUUGAAACUGUUUGAAUCUGUGAGAACAUAUUGAACUAUUACCCUUGCUUGUGUAUGUGUAUGUUUGCCUGACGUUGCUAUUUUUUAUUUUUAGAAUAAAGGGAGCG